UGUUUUUUUCUUCCAAGGAGAAGCAGCUGAAAAGAAAGAAAACAGAGCGUUUUCAAUAAAGUCAAUGAGAAGAGUUAGUGGCCUAAUAUACUCUAUAAGUACAGUAUAAACCUCGAAGUAUUCGAAGUAUUCCUUUCACCACGAACCCAAAGACACAAAUCGGCAAUCACAUCCUCCUCUCACGACGUGUAAGAGGAACUAAAGGAAGGAACUCUUGUUUCCCCGGGGGUGCAAAAGGAGGUGACACACGGGUGGCACACCCACUGCCUUGUGGCUCAUCUCCACGGUCCGGGGUCAGAGAGCUCUCCGGGGGCAGCGGGAUCCCGGGGAUACGGGAAUCUUCCUCCGGGACGGAUUUCCUGCAGGCACAGGGCCCAGGGCCCACGGAGGAGGGAAAGCCGGGGGGCGACUGGCGAAGAGGGAGCUGGAACAGCACGAACCCCAGCGUGUGCCGGGAUCGCCGGCGUCCUCUGCCCGGUCCCGGGGGAAGGUGGCCAUUCCGGCACCGCCGCGAUCCAGACCCCUCCGUCCCAGCGGACACUGGGGAGGACAGCCUCAGUCCACCGCGCAGGACCAGGUCACCAGCCCCCCCCCGCCCCCCAGAGGAGCCUCUGUUUCAUCAUCGCUCUCCUGUUCCUGUCCAGCCUGCAGGACUUCCUGUUCCUGUUCCACCAGGGGUGUGAAUACAUCUGUACAUGUACUGUACUGUAGGCGAAUAUACAGUAAUACACACUGUACAUGUACUGUAGGUGAAUAUACAGUAAUACACACACACUGUACAUGUACUGUAGGUUUAUGUACAGUAAUACACACACACUGUACAUGUACAUACUGA
rnacentral:lncRNA from 1 species